rnacentral:rRNA from 1 species
GAUGAACGCUGACAGAAUGCUUAACACAUGCAAGUCAACUUGAAUUUGGGUUUUUAACUUAGGUUUGGGUGGCGGACGGGUGAGUAACGCGUAAAGAACUUGCCUCACAGCUAGGGACAACAUUUGGAAACGAAUGCUAAUACCUAAUAUUAUGAUAAUAGGGCAUCCUAUAAUUAUGAAAGCUAUAAGCGCUGUGAGAGAGCUUUGCGUCCCAUUAGCUAGUUGGAGAGGUAACGGCUCACCAAGGCGAUGAUGGGUAGCCGGCCUGAAAGGGUGAUCGGCCACAAGGGGACUGAGACACGGCCCUUACUCCUACGGGAGGCAGCAGUGGGGAAUAUUGGACAAUGGACCAAGAGUCUGAUCCAGCAAUUCUGUGUGCACGAUGAAGUUUUUCGGAAUGUAAAGUGCUUUCAGUUGGGAAGAAAGAAAUGACGGUACCAACAGAAGAAGUGACGGCUAAAUACGUGCCAGCAGCCGCGGUAAUACGUAUGUCACGAGCGUUAUCCGGAUUUAUUGGGCGUAAAGCGCGUCUAGGUGGUUAUGUAAGUCUGAUGUGAAAAUGCAGGGCUCAACUCUGUAUUGCGUUGGAAACUGUAUAACUAGAGUACUGGAGAGGUAAGCGGAACUACAAGUGUAGAGGUGAAAUUCGUAGAUAUUUGUAGGAAUGCCGAUGGGGAAGCCAGCUUACUGGACAGAUACUGACGCUGAAGCGCGAAAGCGUGGGUAGCAAACAGG